UACAGAGGGUGCAAGCGUUGUUCGGAAUUACUGGGCGUAAAGCGUGCGUAGUCGGUAUUGAGAGUCGCGGGUGAAAUCCCCAAGCUUAACUUGGGAACUGCCUGCGAGACCUCAGUACUAGAGUGUGAGAGGGGAUAGUGGAAUACCCAGUGUAGCGGUGAAAUGCGUAGAGAUUGGGUGGAACACCGGUGGCGAAGGCGGCUAUCUGGCUCACAACUGACGAUCAGGCACGAAAGCGUGGGGAGCAAACAGG
rnacentral:rRNA from 1 species